GUGCUCGCUUCGGCAGCAGGUACACUGACACUGGAAAGACCCCGAGAAGGUUAGCAUGGCCCCUGUGCAAAGAUGCCACACAAAUUCGUGAAUAAUUUCAUUUUUUU